rnacentral:lncRNA from 1 species
UUUGGGAAAUUCUUUUGGAAUUUCCCCUGCUUCAUUGUAGCCACGUUCAUAAAUCAGAUCAUGUAUUUACAUGCUUUAUAAAUACAUGCUCCUAAUUUCCAACGUAACUAAUAAGACUAUAUAUAUGAUUCGUCAAUAAUCUUCCAAUUUAACUUCACAAUCUCAAGACGUGCACACAAAAAAAAAAAAAAAAUCUCAAGCUUGUUCUCUUUCUCAAACUGAAGAGUUGAAGGCUGUUCACUUGCAAUAACUUCAGUCAAU